GCGUAUAUUAAGUUGUUGCAGUUAAAACGCUCGUAGUCGGGUUUCGGGUCGGGCCGAGCGGUCUGCCGAUGGGUAUGCACUGUUUGGCGCGGCCUUCUUUCCGGAGACCGCGGCUACUCUUAACUGAGCGGGCGUGGGAGACGGAUCGUUUACUUUGAAAAAAUCAGAGUGUUUCAAGCAGGCAGCUCGCUCUUGCAUGGUACAGCAUGGGAUGAUUGAAUAGGACUCCGGUGCUAUUUUGUUGGUUUCGAACACCAGGAGUAAUGAUUAACAGGGACAGUCAGGGGCACUCGUAUUCCGUCGAGAGAGGUGAAAUUCUCAGACCAAUGGAAGACGAACCACUGCGAAAGCAUUUGCCAGGGAUGUUUUCACUGAUCAAGAACGAAAGUUAGGGGAUCGAAGACGAUCAGAUACCGUCGUAGUCUUAACCAUAAACCAUGCCGACUAGGGAUUGGAGGGUGUUCGUUUCGACCUCUUCAGCACCUUACGGGAAACUAAAGUCUUUGGGUUCCG
rnacentral:rRNA from 1 species